rnacentral:SRP_RNA from 1 species
CACUCCAAACCAGGAGUUGAUCAAUGGAAUUUGGGGGAAAGCUUGGAUUUCUUUGAUUUUAGACUGGAAGGUAAUGUGUGAGGUUGGUUUCACAGAGCAGCGAUAACCUCCUGCUCUUGGUAGUGGAGG